GUGAAUAUAGCGCAUCUCUUCGGAGAGCGUGACCUCCACUUUCAACUCUGUGCAUUUUUUUGGCGAGGGAACGAGACGAAGCGACGCAAGUUGCAGACUCUCGCCUCUUGCGGCUCAUUUAAACACUAGUCAAAGUAUGUAACGAAAUAUCGAAACAAAAA
rnacentral:misc_RNA from 1 species